CUAUAUAAAGCCUUUACAAUAGUUGUAAACGGGCUAAUUUGCCCGAGUCAACCAAAAUACAAAAUAAAUGUAAAAUCCAAAAAAAAAAUAUAAAACAAAAUAAAUACUGUCCAAAUUACAGCCCAGAUCACUUGGCCCAAUUUCACAAAUGAUCCAACAAAGAAAUAGGCCCAGAUGGCCCAAAAGUUAAAACACUACAGAAACCCUAGGGCUUCUCCCACUUUGCGCCGCAGCCGAGCCCCAGCCUCCAUGUGCCUUCAGCAUCGUACGACCGCCACGCGCGCUUCCGUACGCCUCACGCCAAGUCCCAACACAUGCCCCGUAACCCGUAACUUUAAACGAACAAAAGAACGACAGCAAAAAGCAAGAAAAAUAUUGUAUUUUUAUAUUUAUUUUUCUUUUAGAUUUCGGCUAUAAAGCAAGACAAACAAUGUAUUGAUUUUUUUUACGCAUAAAAAACACGCAAUAGAAGGUAAUCAAAUAUAAAAAAAAAAUAGAGAAAGAUGAUUUUUUGCUUUCGAUUUCUAUACUCUUUUUCUUUUACUUCUUUCUUUUUACUGGCAUUUACUCAAAUCCUUCAUCAUUGCAUUUAGAAAAAUAAAAGAAAAGGGAUAAGAUAAACUUUACCUUGCAAAUAUGCCGUAGAUCUCUUUUGGCUUCGUCGAAAUCGAACUCAAAAUGAAAUUUCGAGGCUAAAAAAUGUCCCUCAAGGCAUGAAGGUACUGAUCGCCAUUUAGGGAGGUGAAUCGGUGCUUAAAAGGAGGGCUAGAGUUCAGCUGAAGAGAAUGAAAUGGGGAAGCUAGAGUUGUUUUCAUGGUUCGGCUGAAUGAAGGCCUCAUUUGGCUUCUAUAAAGAAGCAAAAACGGUGCCAUUUAAACCAUCUUCAAUGGUUUAAAAAGACGUCGUCUGGAGCCAGCCCGACUUGAUCCGGUCCGUCGCCCCUGGAACCUGUGCGUUUUUACGGUGAGGGGAUAUUUACACGAUAGGUCCUCCCCUUUCGCGUGUGCAUUCAAUCGCACCUUAUCUGUUUUGCUUUUUUUUCUUAAAUUAGUUCUUUAAUUUGUACGCAUUUUCAUUUUAGUCCGAUGUACAGCGCAGCGUUUUGGUCUAGGGGAUAUUUCUAUUUCUAGCCCCCAUAUAUUUGCGCGGAUUACUUAUUGAUCCAAUUUUUGAUUAUUUUAUUUAUAAAUUAUUCCUCUUAUUUUAAUUCAGUUUUAAUUUAGUUUUCUAUUUGUAUAACUUACCAUUUUAACAUAUUUAAUAUUUCUAUGCUGAUCUGUUUUAAUCAUUUUGUUUGGUUCUAUUUGUACAAUUGUUUUUGAAGAUUAUUUUAACAUUUUUGUACAAUAUUCCUUUAGAUAAUCUAUAUAUAUUUGUACAUGUAGUAUUUUAAUUGAGUUUUUGACUCGUAAUGCUUACUAUUUUAAAGUUCCUAACAUUUUUAUAUAUGUGUAUAUGCGUUGAGUUCUCUUAAAAACUUUAUCUUGUUUAUAAAAUCAUCGUUUUAAAAUUCUUUUUACAUAUGUGUAUAUGCGUUGAGUUCUCUUAAAGUUACUAUUUUAACGCUUUUAUAUAACAUUUUGUUUAAAUAUUUAUAUAUAUUGGUACAUCUAUUUGAUCUAUAUACAUUACUAAAUCCAUGUAUUUUAUAACUAUAGUUUUCUUUGUACAUAAGAGUAUGUUUUUAAGUCUAUUAUAUAUAUAAUUUAUAAUAAAAUUAAUAUAAUUCUAUGUACAUAUUAUGUCCCAUGCUAAUUUAUUUUAUAAGUUCUUUUAAAUUUAUCCGUAUAUAUUUUUAUGUAUAUGAGUCAUUUUUUUGAACAUAUUUUAUUACAUAUUGUUUUGAUUUAAAGUCUUACAUUUAAAUACUAUUUAUAUAUAUACACAUUUGUCAACAUACACAUUUGUCAGCUUUAAAUGGAUACAUCAUCUUUAAAAUAUUUAUGUCCAUUAUUUGACUCAAAUUUCCUCUUUUAUAAUAUAUAUUUCACUAAUAAGCUAUGUAUAUACUUAGUUUUUAUAUAUAUAAAUUAUUUCUAAUUUUGCAUGUGUUAUUCACUUAUGAUUUUUUAUAUAUAUAGUUUUAUAUCGAUUCGCCUCAUAGUAGCUCUUAAUUUCUAUAUUGUUUUGUAUUUUGAUUUUUUUUAUUAUUAUGUCAAUUAUUCUCCAUACAUGCUUGAACAUUGAGUUAUAUUUUUUAGAUUAAUUAUAUUUAAUUGUUUUGUUAGUUGAUUAAAUAAGUUAUAUUAUCUUCAUUCAUCCAUUGUCGUAUUUUAUGCAUACAUGUUAUCCUAUGUCUCCAUUUUUUUCCUCUUGGUUUACAAAUGUUGCUUUAUAACUUCCAACUCUUUAAAACUAUGUAUCCCGCUUUAUUUCAAGUCGAAUUAAUGCGUUUUAAGCUAGUUUUAUAACUAUUCAUUCAAAAAUUCUUUAAAACGAAGGCAAUGUUCGAUGUUUGGCAAUUCGGGGAAUCGUGCCCUAUCGUGCUGAUUGCAAUAUCUCGUUUGUCCAAAAUAAUCGAAUAUUCCUUUGGAAUUUCACUCAUGUCUUUAAAAAUUCUUCAAAACGAAGGAAAUGUUCGAUGUUUAGCAAUUCGGAGAAUCGUGCCCUAUCGUGCUGGGUUGCAAUUUCUCGUUUGCUCAAAAUAAUCAAAUAUUCCUUUAGAAUUUCACUCAUGUUUUCUAAAUUCUAAAACAAGGCAAUGUUCAAUAUUUGGAAAUUCAGGGAAUCGUGCCCUACCGUGCUGGGUUUCGAUUUUUCGUUGGACUAAAUAAUUGGGCAUCCUUUUGUAAUUUUCAACGUAUAAACUUUCGGAAGUCAAAGUUUAUCGUUGUUUUUGAGGGUAUAAAGGAUCGUGUCCUAUCGUGUUGGAUGUGAUGCUGCAUUCCUCUGAAACAAGAGAAUUUUGACAACCAACUUGAGCCAUUCAAAUGCUUCAAAAGGAACCAUAUUUCAAAAACAGCUUUAAAACUUAGACAUAAGGACAACACUUAAUCAAUUUGGUACCAAUUUUGGGCGUAGUGAGGGUGCUAAUCCUUCCUCAUAUGUAACCAACUCCUGAACCUGUUUUCUCAAAUUUACGUAGGCCAAAAUCGAUUUAAAUAAAACAAAGUGUUUUAUUGGGUGACCCAAUCACACCUAAAUAAAAGAUUGGUGGCGACUCCACAUUUUUGUUUUUUAAAGUCAAUCCCCACUAUUUUUUAACUUUAAAAAAAAUAGUUUCGACAGCUUGGCGACUCCACUGGGGAACAAGAGAGUCUAGCCAUAAAAUUGAUUAUUUGUUCUCCUUUUGUUGAAGUAUCGAAAAUUUGUUUUAUCAUGAUUGUAUUUGUUUGUAUGAUUGUUAUGGUUCGGGCUUUUAGAAUAAUACUGCAUUUCAUUGCAUGAUCGCUGUGGUCUCACCUUCUAAGUGGGAGUAAGAAACUAUGCUUUCGUGAGGUUUUCACCUCCGCAUGAGCUAGUGGAUUGCUUCCGGGAUACAUCCGUACUUAUGAUUUCGUGAGAUUUUCAUCUCCGUAUGGUCAUAGGGAAAUGUAUUUCUCUGAAUCGAACUCGAUCUAUAUGAGCCUAUAAUGGGUGAGGAUUGAGGAAUCUGCUAGUUUAGGUACCUUAUCUCUAGAACCGAACCACAUAUAGCGAGCCUUAAGAGCUAUCCUUGGGUGGAGCCACAUCAAGCCUUAGUAUUUGCCCAUAUAUGUGUUAUAAUUAUCUUUCCUGUGCUUGUAUUUUAUCGCUUGUAUUUGAUACUAACUUGUGUUUUGUUUUGAUUGUGUUUUGCAUGACAUUGCAUACUAAAGGAGGUGUUGAUUCGUAUUCGAUUACUAAGUUAGAAAGUUUGACAUGGAGAAUGAAUUUCUUAAUAAAGUUGAGGAUAACACAGCUGUUCGCGCAUGGUCAGAGAAGUUACAAUCGGAGAAAGGGAAUAGCCUAGAAGAAGGAUAUACAUCAGAGUUAUAGGAAUUCACUCGCGUCAAUGUAGCACAAAAUGAGUUGCAAGAGUUGAGAGAUAUAUGGGCUCGUUGGGAUGAAGGAACCAAACAGUUGUUCUAUCAAAGCUAUGGUGAUAUAUCUUACUUGCUAGAUAUUAAGGUGGACAAGCACCUGUUGUAACGCCCCUUACCCGAGACCGUCGCCGGAGUCGAGCACAAGGCACUACUAAACUUAUUUGAGCACUUAACCAAAUUCAGAUAAUUUAUAUCAUACUUUUCAGACAAGCUAUCCAACUGCAUCAUAGUUGCUAAAAAAAUCAUAUCUCGAGUUAUAAAACUCGAAAUUCAAAUCCGUAAAAUUUCCUCGAAUUUAGACUCAUAUAUCUACUUAGAAAAUUUUUUUAUAUAAUUUUUGGUUGGUCAAAUUAGUACAGUUUAUUAGUUAAAUUCUCCCCUGUUUCAGGGUUUGGCUACUUUGACCCUUGUGCACUACGAACCAAAUUUCUCCCUGUACAGAAUUCAAAUAACCAUGCCGUUUGUUUCUCUUAGAAAUAGACCCAAUGAGGAAUCCACACAUAUACAGUAUGACUCAUAAUUAUUUUUUUGAAAUUUUUAAUGAUUUUUACAAAUUAGAACAAGGGAACUCGAAGUCAUUCAGACUCUAUCUCACAACAAUUUAAAUAUCUCAUAACAUAAAAUCCAAUUGCAUGCACCGUUUCCUCUAUAUGAAACUAGACUCAUUAGGAUUUAAUCUCAUUUUUUUCUCAACCCUUAACUCAAUUUCCAAAAUUUAUGGUGAAUUUUCAAAGUCAAACUACUGCUACUUACCAAAAACUAUUUUAGUACAAAUAUUGUUAACUAGUUUAUAACAUCUUUUCUUCAAUUCAUUCAAAAGCUAUACAUGCCAUAUAAAUCUUUAAACAUAAAACAAAAACUACCAGAAUUGAUCUGAAUAGUGUGCCUUGUUUUGUUGAUCCGAUCUACCAACUUCUCUUUAAUUCAAUCUACAAAAGAAAUUAUCAAACACACACAAGUAAGCUUAUUGAAGCUUAGUAAGCUCAUAGGCAUAAAAACACAAAUCUUAUCAAAUAUUGUACACAAUCAUAUAUCUACUAGUUUAACUAUUUCAUCCUCCAAAUCACAAUUUCAUUAAUAACUCAUUUGAAUAAUUUCCAUAUGGCUACUCACAAUUUAACUCCCUUAGGCCCAUUUCUCAUUUACUUCAUUGUCAAAUUAGGGAACAAUAAGGGAAUUGAGUGCUCCAUUAUCACAUUGCCAUAGUAAACUAUGGACUUUCACAUUGUUACCCAUCACACACCGAAGCCAUAGCCUUGCCAUGGUCUUACACGGUUCACAUAUCAUACCGAAGCCAUAUCCCAGACAUGGUCUUUUACAGAAUCACAUUAUCACAUUAUACCGAUGCCAUAGCCCAGCUAUGGUCUUAUACGGAGUCACAUUAUUACAUUGACCAAUGUCAUAGCCCAGCUAUGGUCUUAAACGGGCGCACUUAUCACAUAUUUUUCGUCAAUUCAUCAGGGUCACAGAAUAGAAGCACUCAAAUCCAUUGUUCCUACUAAUUUGUACUUUUAGUUACACAUUAUUUAUUAGUUAAUGCAAAUUGAUAGUAUUCAUCAACAAUAAAAUACUUUAACAAUCAUAAGAUUUUCAUAACAAAACAUUGAACUUUGCCAUAUGAACUUACCUGGUCUAAUUUGCAAAAGUCGUAGAAAUUGAGGGACUAUUCUUGAAUUUUUUCCUUUCCACGAUUCAGUUCGUUUUCUUGAUAUGAUGUAAAAAUAUGAAAAACCAGCUUUCUCCAGACCUUCUACGGCGUUUUGGCUGAUAAAAUAUGAAGAGAUCUCUAGAUUCUUCAAUUUUGUUCUUAUUUUAUAUGUUAAAGUUGUAAAAUUUCCAAUUUUGCCCUUAUUUCCCUUAUUUUUCUGCUGAUUUUCUUGCCUUUGCCGUCCAGCCUAUUAACUUUUAGGCUUAAUUUCCCUUUAAAUCUUCCUUCUUUUAACACUUGAGCUAUUUAAUCCUUUUAGCAAAAUUUAUUUUUAUUACAAUUUAGUCCUUUUUAUUUAAUUGACUACCUAAUCGUUAAAAUUUCUCAAACAAACUUUAAUACUAGCUAAAUGAAACUUCAUAAAUAUUUAUAAAAAUAUUUAUAGCUUGAUUUUCAAAUUCGAGGUCUCGAUACCUCAUUUUUGACCCGUUUGACCUAAUAAAUUCUUUUAAUUCACUAAUUUCACCAUUUCACAAAUUCUUCUAAAUUCUUACGUGACUCAUAAAUAUUAAAUUACUAUCUUGUUCAAUCUUAUUUGUCAGAUUUAGUGAUCUCAAAUCACCAUUUUCGACACCACUGAAAAUUAGGCCGUUACAACUCUCCCCCCUUAGGAAAUUUCGUCCUCGAAAUUUGUACCUGAAAAUAAAUGCGGAUAUUGUGAUCUCAUAGAUUCUUCUGUUUCCCAAGUUGCCUCCUCCAAUCCAUGUCGAUGCCAUAACACUUUUACUAACGGUACUCGUUUAUUCCGUAGUUCUUUAACUUCCCGAGCUAAUAUUUUCACUGGUUCCUCCGAAUAAGUCAUAUCUGAUUGUAGCUCUAUCUCAGUAUGAGGAAUCACAUGUGAAGGGUCUGAUCUAUAUCGUCUCAACAUAGAUACAUGAAAUACAUUAUGGAUCUUCUCAAGUUCUGGAGACAAGGCCAAUCUAUAAGCUGCCGGACCGAUCCUCUCGAUGAUUUCGUAUGGUCCGAUAAAUCGUGGACUAAGCUUUCCUUUUCUACCAAACCGUAAAACUUUCUUCCACGGAGAAACUUUCAAGAACACAUGAUCACCCACAUUGAACUCUAUAUCUCUUCUUUUCAAAUCUGCAUACGACUUUUGACGAUCGGAAGCAGCUUUCAAACUUUCUCGAAUAAUCUGAACUUUUUCUUCAGUUUCCUGAAUUAAAUCCACUCCGACUAAUUUCGAUUCACUUAAUUCUGACCAAUACAACGGGGUUCUGCACUUCCUUCCAUACAGAGCUUCAAACGGUGCCAUUUUGAUACUAGCUUGAUAACUGUUAUUAUAAGCAAAUUCAGCUAACGGUAAGUACCUUUCCCAGUUGCCACUGAACUCGAGUAUACAACACCUUAACAUAUCUUCCAAAAUCUGAAUCACUCGCUCUGAUUGUCCAUCUGUCUGAGGGUGAAAAGCUGUACUAAAUUUUAACUUAGUACCUAAAGCUUCCUGUAGUUUAUUCCAAAAUCUCGAAGUAAACCUCGGAUCUCGAUCAGAAAUAAUUGAUGUCGGCACCCCAUGUAAUCUCAAAAUUUCUGACACAUAUAAUUCCGCUAACUUAUCAAGCGAGAAAUCUAUUCUGACUGGAAUAAAAUGCGCCGACUUAGUUAAUCUGUCUACUAUCACCCAAAUCGAAUCUUUCUUCUUCGGAGUCACUGGUAAUCCAGAUACAAAAUCCAUCGUCACAUGUUCCCACUUCCAUUCUGGAAUCAUUACGGGUUGUAACAAACCUGUAGGCACUUGAUGUUCAGCUUUUACUUGUUGACAGAUUAAACAUUUUGCCACAAAUUCACAAAUUUCCCGUUUCAUACCAGGCCACCAAUACAUUUUUUUCAAAUCACAAUACAUCUUCGUACUACCCGGAUGAAUCGAGUACAUACUACUAUGAGCCUCUGAUAAGAUAUCCUUCUUCAAUUCUAGAUUAUUCGGGACACAAAUUCUAUUACGAUGGUAUAAUAUACCACUAUUAUCAAUAGAGUAAUCUAAGUUCAAAUUAUCCCGAACCAUUUGUCGUUUCAACACCAACUUCAGAUCUUCAUCUUGUAAUUCCCGAAUUCGUUGAAAGAAUACUGGUUUUGUCUUUAAUUCAGCUAAUAUAGAACCAUUUUUAUUAACAGACAAAUGAGCAUUUAACGCCCGAAGAGCAAAUAAUGAUGAUUUCUGACUAAGUGCAUCUGCUACUACAUUUGCCUUACCCUGAUGAUAAUCAAUGAUAAGAUCGUAAUCUUUCAACAGCUCUAACCAUCGCCUCUGUCUCAAAUUCAGCUCUUUCUGCGACAUUAAAUAUUUCAAACUUUUAUGGUCUGUAUACACAUAACAUUUCUCUCCAUAUAAGUAGUGUCUCUAAAUUUUUAAAGCAAAUACUAUGGCAGCUAAUUCAAGAUCAUGUGUAGGGUAGUUCCUCUCAUGUGGUUUCAACUGUCGAGAAGUAUAUGCUACAACUUUUCCUGACUGCAUCAAUACACAACCUAAACCAUUCAGAGACGCAUUACUAUAUACUACAUAUGGCACACCUGAUUCAGGCUGAGUUAACACUGGAGCCUCUGUCAACAUUUUCUUUAAUUGAUCAAAACUUCGUUGGCACUCAUCAGACCAUACAAACUCAACAUUCUUCUGUAAUAAUUUAGUUAUCGGUGAAGCAAUCAGUGAAAGUCUUUCACAAAUCGACGAUAGUAACCAGCUAAUCCAAGGAAACUUCGCACUUCCGUAACAUUCUUUGGAGUUUUCCAAUUAAUCACCGUUGACACCUUACUCGGAUCUACCCGUAUACCAUCAACUGACACAAUGUGACCCAAGAAUCCCACUUCAUGAAGCCAAAAUUCACAUUUACUAAAUUUUGCAUAUAACUAUUUUUCCCUUAAUAUCUGUAGUACAAUUCUCAAGUGCUGAGCAUGCUCGGAUUCUGUCUUUGAAUAGAUCAAUAUAUCGUCAAUAAACACAACCACAAAUCUAUCCAGGUAAGACUGGAAAAUUCGAUUCAUUAAAUCCAUAAAAGUAGCAGGAGCAUUUGUCAAACCGAAUGGCAUAACUAAGAACUCAUAAUGACCAUACCGAGUUCUAAAAGCUGUUUUCGGCACAUCACAUUCCUUUACCUUUAACUGAUAAUACCCAGAUCUGAGAUCUAUUUUUGAAAACACUGCAGCAUCCUUAAGCUGAUCGAAUAAAUCAUCAAUACGAGGCAAAGGAUAUUUAUUUUUAAUUGUUACCUUAUUCAGCUGCCUGUAAUCUAUACACAGCUUCAAUGAACCAUCCUUCUUUUUCACAAAUAAAACAGGUGCACCCCAUGGCGACAUACUCGGUCUGAUAAACCCUUUGUCUAACAGCUCUUGCAACUGCGUUUUUAACUCUCUUAAUUCUGCUGGAGCCAUUCUAUACGGUGUCACCGAUAUGGAAGCUGUUCCCGGAAGCACAUCUAUCACGAACUCAACUUCUCUAUCGGGUGGUAAACCUGGUAAUUCUUCAAGAAAUACAUCCAUGAAUUCAUUUACAAUAGAUAGUUGCUCUAACUUUGAUUUAAAAUUUCGAGUAUCAAGAAUAUAGGCUAAAUAAGCUUCAUUUCCUUUACGCAACAAUUUAUGAGCAGACAUAAAGGAAAUCAUUCUAACCAUAUCAUCCAAAUUUCCAAACUCAACCAAAAUAAUAUCUCCUGUUUGACAUUUCAAGCUAAUUCGUUUUUCUCGAAAAUUCACUACCGCGUCAUGUUUCAUUAACCAGUCCAUGCCCAAGAUAAUAUCAAAUUCACGAAAGGGUAGCAGCAUCAAAUCAGCGGGGAAAUCACAGCCCUUAACUUUCAGUGGACAGUUAUGACAUAUUAAAUUAACUACCACACUUUGACCUAACGGAUUUGUAACUUGUACAUCAUAAUCAGUAGACUCAACAAAUAAAUUCUUUUCAGAUGCUAACAUAGUGAAAAUAUAUGAAUGAGUAGACCCAGGUCUAUUAAAGCAUACACAGGAACAUCAUAAAGAUAGAAAGUACCAGCAAUUACAUCUGGAGCUGUUGCUUCUUCUCUUGCUCGAAUGACAUAAGUACGAGCAGGGGCCCUAACUUCUGAUCGGCUAGCAGUAUCUUUCAUACCCGAACGAGUAGCCCUUGUAGCACUGCUCUGACCAGAGCGUAUUCCUUUUUGAGGAGGAAUUUUCUAUUUCUCCCUCUGUUCCACUUCUUCUACUUGUAAUUGGGGACAAUCACGAAUAAAGUGAUCAGUGGCCCCACAUUUAUAACAAGCCCCUAACUUACUUCUACAUUCACCGGGGUGACUUCUUCUACAAUGUUGACACUUAGGCCUUUGGGUAUUUUGUACACUACCCACACAAACAACAGGUCUGUCAGAUGCUUUGUAAUCAGAUUGUCUUGGCCUAUUUUUUCCUGAUCUUUCCGGUGCUGAAGUGGCUCGACUGAAUUCGUCUUUAGAUUUCUUCACUGGUAAAGCCGAAAAUGACUUAGAUGCACUUCUUUUGAAAGAUUCUUUACUUCUCCUAUCUCGUUGCAUCUUUCUAUUAUAUACUUCUUCAAGCUUCUGAGAACGAUCUGAUAGAACAAUAAAUUCUCGUAUCUCAAUGCCCCCUAUCAUCAUUUUAAUCUCAUCAUUAAGCCCUUCUUCAAAUCUGAUACACAUUUCUUCUUCAGUGGGUACUAUAUCUCGAGCAUAUUUGCUUAGUUAGACAAAUUCUCUUUCAUAUUCAGCCACUGACUUGUUUCCCUGUCGCAAGUCGAGAAAUUCUCUUUUCUUCUUAUCCAGAUAUCUUCUACCGACAUAUAUCUUCUUAAAUUCAUUUUGAAAAAAUUCCCAAGUGAUCUUCUCAGCUGGUACAACAGCUUCUAUUGUUUCCCACCAGUUAUAAGCUUCUUCUUUCAAUAAUGACAUGGCACAUAUUAAGUAAUCAUCUGGUGAACACGCCAUUUGCUUAAAAACCCUCAUUAUACUUUGUAACCAAUAUUCAGCUUUUACGGGGUCAUCAUCUGCUCUUCCCUGAAAUUCUUUAGCCCCAUGUUUUCUGAGCUUUUCAAAUGGAGAACGUUUGCCAGAUUCAGUUGUCGGAGGAGGUGGAGGAGCAACCGGGGGUACUACCGAUGUUGAGAUAGGGGGAGGAGGUUGCAGAGUCUGAUUUCUUUCUCGCACAUUCUCAUUAUACCACUGAUUCAUGAAUCCAUAAAUCAUAUUUUUGAGUUCUUGUUCUCGCAUCAAUGAAAUCGGAACUUCACUACUUGUUCCUUGUUCAGAGAUUUGUACUCUACUGUUAACUUGUUCUUGCUCAGUUUGUUCUGGUCUAUCUGACAUCUUUUCAAAUCGAAGAUAUUCUAUAAUAAAAAUAAGGAUUAGAUCGGAUCAUACACAGCACACUAUCACAGAUUUAUAUGGCAUGUAAUUCUAGACACUUUUCACAUCAUACAUAUUCCGAGAAUCGGCUAAACCGAAGCUCUGAGACCAAUAAAUGUAACGCCCCUUACCCGAGACCGUCGCCGGAGUCGAGCACAAGGCACUACUAAACUUAUUUAAGCACUUAACCAAAUUCAGAUAAUUUAUAUCAUACUUUUCAGACAAGCUGUCCAACUGCAUCAUAGUUGCUAAAAAAAUCAUAUCUCGAGUUAUAAAACUCGAAAUUCAAAUCCGUAAAUUUUCCCCGAAUUUAGACUCAUAUAUCUAUUUAGAAAUUUUUUUUAUAUAAUUUAUUGUUGGUCCAAUUAGUACAGUUUAUUAGUUAAAUUCUCCCCUGUUUCAGGGUUUUGCUAUUUUGACCCUUGUGCACUACGAACCAAAUUUCUCCCUGUACAAAAUUCAAAUAACCAUGCCGUUUGUUUCUCUUAGAAAUAGACCCAAUGAGGAAUCCAGACAUAUAUAGUAUGACUCAUAAUUAUUUUUUUGAAAUUUUUAAUGAUUUUUACAAAUUAGAACAAGGGAACUCGAAGUCAUUCAGACUCUAUCUCACAACAAUUUAAAUAUCUCAUAACAUAAAAUCCAAUUGCAUGCACCGUUUCCUUUAUAUGAAACUAGACUCAUUAGGAUUUAAUCUCAUUUUUUUCUCAGCCCUUAACUCAAUUUCCACAAUUUAUGGUGAAUUUUCAAGGUCAAACUACUGCUACUUACCAAAAACUGUUUUAGUACAAAUAUUGUUAACUAGUUUAUAACAUCUUUUCUUCAAUUCAUUCAAACUCUAUACAUGCCAUAUAAAUCUUUAAACAUAAAAUAAAAACUACCGGAAUUGAUCUGAAUAGUGUGCCUUGUUGUGUUGAUCCGAUCUACCAACUUCUCUUUAAUUCAAUCUACAAAAGAAAUUAUCAAACACACACAAGUAAGCUUAUUGAAGCUUAGUAAGCUCAUAGGCAUAAAAACACAAAUCUUAUCAAAUAUUGUACACAAUCAUAUAUCUAUUAGUUUAACUAUUUCAUCCUCCAAAUCACAAUUUCAUUAAUAACUCAUUUGAAUAAUUUCCAUAUGGCUACUCACAAUUUAACUCCCUUAGGCCCAUUUCUCAUUUACUUCAUUGUCAAAUUAGGGAACAAUAAGGGAAUUGAGUGCUCCAUUAUCACAUUGCCAUAGUAAACUAUGGACUUUCACAUUGUUACGCGUCACACACCGAAGCCAUAGCCUUGCCAUGGUCUUACACGGUUCACAUAUCAUACCGAAGCCAUAUCCCAGACAUGGUCUUUUACGGAAUCACAUUAUCACAUUAUACCGAUGCCAUAGCCCAGCUAGGGUCUUAUACGGAGUCACAUUAUCACAUUGCACCGAUGCCAUAGCCCAGCUAUGGUCUUAAACGGGCGCACUUAUCACAUAUUUUUCGUCAAUUCAUCAGGGUCACAGAAUAGAAGCACUCAAAUCCAUUGUUCCUACUAAUUUGUACUUUUAGUUACACAUUAUUUAUUAGUUAAUGCAAAUUGAUAGUAUUCAUCAACAAUAAAAUACUUUAACAAUCAUAAGAUUUUCAUAACAAAACAUUGAACUUUGCCAUAUGAACUUACCUGGGCUAAUUUGCAAAAGUCGUAGAAAUUCAGGGAUUAUUCUUGAAUUUUUUCCUUUCCACGAUUCAGUUCGUUUUCUUGAUAUGAUGUAAAAAUAUGAAAAACCAGCUUUCUCCAGACCUUCUACGGCGUUUUGGCUGAUAAAAUAUGAAGAGAUCUCUAGAUUCUUCAAUUUUGUUCUUAUUUUAUAUGUUAAAGUUGUAAAAUUUCCAAUUUUGCCCUUAUUUCCCUUAUUUUUCUGCUGAUUUUCUUGCCUUUUCCGUCCAGCCUAUUAAAUUUUAGGCUUAAUUUCCCUUUAAAUCUUCCUUCUUUUAACACUUGAGCUAUUUAAUCCUUUUAGCAAAAUUUAUUUUUAUUACAAUUUAGUCCUUUUUAUUUAAUUGACUACCUAAUCGUUAAAAUUUCUCAACCAAACUUUAAUACUAGCUAAAUGAAACUUCAUAAAUAUUUAUAAAAAUAUUUAUAGCUUGAAUUUUAAAUUCGAGGUCUCGAUACCUCGUUUUUGACCCGUUUGACCUAAUAAAUUCUUUUAAUUCACUAAUUUCACCAUUUCACAAAUUCUUCUAAAUUCUUACGUGACUCAUAAAUAUUAAAUUACAAUCUUGUUCAAUCUUAUUUGUCGGAUUUAGUGAUCUCAAAUCACCAUUUUCGACACCACUGAAAAUUAGGCCGUUACACCUGUUCCGAGUUAUGGUUCAGUUUUGGAAUUCUGCUUACAAGUGUUUCACUUUUGAGGAAGUGGAUUUAGUACCUAACGUGGAGGAAUAUACUACCCUGCUCAGGUGUCCAAAAGUUUAAGUUAGAAUAGCUUAUGCCAAGGUCUUUAAUGGUCAAACUUUCACGAAGAAAUGGAUGAAUAUUUUAGGGACGAGCGAGCCUUGGGUCACUGCUCGGGUUCAACAAAAGGGAGAUAGUAAAUGUAUCCCUUGGGAGAAUUUGAAAGAGUUGGUUUUAACACAUCCGGAUGAAAGAAAAAGGGUCAAUAUCUUCGCCUUAAGCAUAUUUGGAUUGGUAAUUUUUCCUAAGGCUUUAAGGCACGUGGAUGAGGCAGUCUCUGAUUUAUUCGACCGUCUUGAGAAGGGAAUCACACCUGUGCCUGCAAUAUUGGCUGAGACGUUCAGAUCCUUGAGCAUGUGUCGGAAGGCAGGCGAGGGGCAGUUUAUUGGAUGUACGCAGCUGUUGAUGGUGUGGUUUCAUAGGCACUUUUGGAAGGUAGACAAGGUUUUUUAUCGGGUCUUUUCUGAAGGUUAUUCCCCGUUAAAAGAGGAGGCAGCCAUACAAAGGAGAGAGGAUAUCUCAGAGGAGAAGUGGAUAGAAAUUCUUCAAAAUCUCAAGGAAAGGGAUAUCGAGUGGAGAGCAUUUUAGAUGGUUCCCGAUAAAAUCUUGUAUCGAUGUGGGAACUUUGAUUGGGUGCCGUUGUUAGAAAUUUGAGGAGCUACUGGAUAUACUCUGUUGCUUGCAUUAAGACAGUAUAAAUCAAGUCAAUUUGUACCCGCGACUUACGGGCUUACUCAGUGUGAAUUCUCCUUUAAAGGUGACCACUAUAAGAAGAAGGUUUGGGAACUGUCUGAUGCUUGGAAACAAACUCACUGGAUGAAGAGGUUGGCUAUCGGCUCUAUGGUGACACCCUGAAUACAAUAGAUGGUUUAGAAAGAGGGUCAAUGAAAAUAUUCUUAAGCCAAGUUUAGAAGAUACUCGACCUGUGGUGGAACAAUUACAAAUCGCCCCGUAAGAGUUGGAAAUUAUAAAGCAAGACUUUGAGAAGAAGAAUUCUAAGCUUGGGAAAAGAUCGAACAAUUGGAGGAAGAAAAGAUGCAUCGGAUAUUAGAUGUAGACGUUCAGAGAUCAGAGGCUGAGAAGUGGAGAAAAUGGAAAAGUAGGGCCGAAAAAGAUCUAGACAGUUUGAAGAUAGAUUAUAAAAAGUUACGCCUGUCUAUGAGGACUGUCGGGUUAGGUAAAACUUUCGAACAAUGGCGCCAUGAAAUUCGAGAGGAAAAGACCAAAGCUGGCCGAUGGGAAAGGAAAUUCUGAGAAGCUCAGGCACUAAAUGAAGAUUUGGAGAAGAGUCUGUCAGAAAGCAGAAAUGAACAAGGUGAAUUAAGGGCUAGAGUGGCAGAACUCGAGAAGUCUCUUCAUCAAUAUCGAAGCCGUAAUACUGUAAUGGAGUUGAGGGCAAGCUUGAGCAAGGUAGAAGAAAUGAAAGGAAAAAUAGAAGAAUUAGAAGCGUCACUACAAAACUGUGAGAUGCGGAUUCAGUUUUUCGAAGCAAGCGAGGAGUGUUGGAACGAGCAGCUUCACCAUGCACAAGACCAAGUUAGGAAUAGGGAUUACAUUAUGAGGGAAGCCAUAACUCAGAUUCGGGAGGUAGCCGAAUACUUGCAAGCUUUAGCGGUACAAGCGGACACACUGAGCGUGAAGUACGAGUUGGAGUCAGAUCGGGGGCAGAAGCUAGCCUCGUUGCUUAGGAAAAUUAAGGCUCUGAGCAUUAGGGCGAAGUUUUAUUUGUAACUCAUUUUUAUGUAAAGAAUUUUAUUUUCUAAUGAAUUUUCUAAAGGGAAUUGAAUCAAAAUUGAUGCCUCCUUUGCAUUCAUGUAUUUGCAUUGCAUUACAUCAUAUGCAUUAAAGGUCAUAAAAAAGAUUCUAAUUAAUUAAAAAUUAUUAAAACCAACCAACUACACACCCCUAUGGUACAAGGAAAAAGACCAAGUCAAAAGACAAAAGACUUGAGAAAUUGGAGCAAAUGCAAAAGGACAUGCAGGAACAAAUGCAGUCACAGAUGCAAGAGCAGCUAGCCAAGAUUCAACAAGAGAUGAAAGAGCAAAUGAUGGAAUCCCAAAAAGAGAUGAUGAGUCAGUUGUCCCAACUGCUGAUAGGAAGAAUGGAUAAAGGAAAGGGUCUCAUGGACAAUGUUGAGGAAAAUAAUAAAGACCCUCAAUAUCCUCCAGGCUUCACUCCAACACAUAUACCGACACAACCUAAGAUUAAUCUGAAAAGACCAUCUGUUAUGAUUAUGCCUCAGCAAAUUCAAGCCGGAGCUGUGAUACCAAUGAAUUUCCAAGCCGGCUCAGGCUCUAACCCUGUUAAUAACUCGAAUUAUCCACUCGUUCCUGAUUUGGAUAAAGUCGUGGAAAAGGAAAAGGCAAAGAUAGAAUCGCAAAAACAAUUGGAAGAACGGUGUAAAUGGCUGGAUGAAAAAUUCAAAGCUAUGAAAAACGCUGAUAGUCAUCACGGGAUUGAUGCUAAGAACCUGAGCUUGGUCCCAGACUUGGUCCUUCCCCCCAAGUUCAAAAUGUCUAAAUUUGAGAAGUACAAUGGAACGAGCUGCCCUGAGGCUCAUAUCACUAUGUUUUGCAGGCGACUGACGGGAUACGUCAAGAAUGACCAGCUAUUAAUUCACUGCUUUCAGGACAGUCUGGUUGGGGCGGCAUCUAAAUUGUAUAACCAAUUGAGCCGUGCUAAGAUUAACUCAUGGAAAGACCUAGCUCAAGCCUUUAUGAAACAGUAUAGUCAUGUGACGGACAUAACUCCUGACAAGAUCACUCUCCAGAAUAUGGAGAAGAAACCAAAUGAAAGUUUCAGACAGUAUACGCAAAGAUGGAGAAAAGUUUCCAUACAAGUUCAACUGCCGCUUUUAGAAAAAGAAACCACGAUGUUCUUUGUCAACACUUUGAAGGCCCCUUUUAUCACUCAUAUGUUGGGGAGUGCCACCAAAAGCUUCUCAGACAUAGUGAUGGCAGGUGAAAUGAUUGAAAAUGCUGUGAGGAGUGGCAAAAUCAAAGUAGGGGAAAGUACCAAAAGAUUGGCCCCGAAAAAAAUAGAUAACGAAGUGAACAACACGAGCACAUUUAGUAAGGGUCAGUCCAAGUCACUCACUGUAAACCAACCAAAGACGGUGACCACCAAUCAACACAGUACUGUGAGACAAGAAUCCAACGCGAGGGCGAACACAGAAAGGCCACAGUUCACGCCUAUACCCAUGAUGUAUAGGGAGCUGUACCAGAACCUAUUCAACGCUCAUGAAGUGUCCCCUUUCUACUUGAAGCCACUGCAACCCCUAUUUUCCAAAUGGUAUGACACAAACGCCCAAUGCGAAUACCAUUUGGGAAUCACCAGACACUCGAUCAAAAACUGCACCGCGUUCAAGAAGCUAGUUGAAAGAUUCAUUAAAAUGGGGAUUGUAAGGUUUGAUGACCCAGCCAUACCCAAUGUAGCAAGAAACCCGAUCCUCAAUCAUACCGACCAAGGAGUAAACAGGAUAAGUGAAGGCGGAAGCAAGAAGAUCAAAUAUGAGGUUGCAGAGGUCAGGACCCCAUUAAGACGGGUGUGGAAGGAGAUGGUCAAGAGAGGAUUAAUCGUGUCGGAUUUGAAAGAAGAAUCUGAAGAAGAGAGGAACUACUGUGAGUUUCACAACAAAGUGGGGCAUGAAAUUCAAGAGUGUGUAGAGUUCAGGGCCCUCAUACAUGACAUGAUAAACAAUAGAGAAAUGGAGUUUUAUUAAGAAACUGAAAACCCAGAAGAGAGAGAUAUAUGCGCGUCAAAGGGAGAAUCGACGGCGUAGAACCAAACAGUUAACUACCCCGUGGUCAUCAUAUCACGACCCAAAAGUAAUGAAGCGGGAGUGCAAAUGCCACCGAAAGUUAUAAUCCAAAGACCUGCAGUCUUCCCCUAUAAAGACAGCAAGAGGGUCUCAUAGAAUUACGACUGUAACGUGAUGAUCCCAGGAAAAGAGAACCUAGUUGACACUUCAAAAGAGGACCAAGAUAGGGGCUCCUAUACACGUAGCGGGAGACGCUAUGAUUCAGCAAGUGAGAAAGCAGGACCCGUAAAAGGAAAAGCCACGGUGGUCGAAGAGAUGAAGGAGAAAGUAGCUAAAUCUGAACUUUUUGUUAAUGAGCCGGUCAACGAAGAGGAGGCUAAGGAGUUUUUAAAGUUUUUAAAGCACAGCGAAUACAAUGUCGUGGAACAACUACGUAAACAACCAGCUCGUAUCUCGGUGCUGGCCUUACUUCUAAGUUCGGAAGCCCAUCGCAGCACACUGAUGAAAGUUUUGAAUGAAACAUAUGUUGCCAAUGAUAUUUCCGUCAAAAAGCUAGACCGCUUGGUUAACAACAUAAGUGCCGAUAACUUUAUCUUCUUCAAUGACGAUGAGAUACCACCCGGUGGUAGAGGGUCGACUAAAGUUUUACAUAUCACCACGCGUUGUAAGGGAUAUAUGCUAUCAGGAGUACUGAUUGACAAAGGGUCGGCCUUGAACGUCCUACCAUUGUCCACACUAGGCAGAUUACCUGUAGACAGCUCUCACAUGAAAGAGUGUCAGAAUAUAGUGAAGGCAUUCGAUGGUACGGAGAGAAGGGUGAUAGGCAGAAUUGAGAUACCUCUUCUGAUCGGGCCAAACACAUAUGAGAUGGAUUUCCUGGUGAUGGAUAUCAAGCCUUCAUACAACUGCUUAUUGGAGAGGCCCUGGAUACAUUCAGCUGGGGCAGUGCCUUCAUCGUUGCAUCAAAAAUUAAAGUUAGUAUCAGAGGGGCGGUUGAUAACAAUAAAUGCUGAAGAGGAUAUCAUUACAGCUGUAAGCAGUGAUGCACCCUAUUUAGAGACAGAUGACGAAGAAAUCAAAUGCUCAUUUCGGUCUUUAGAAUUUGUUAAUGCAACAUUCAUUACUGAGGGGAGCAAGAUUCUGACGCCGACUAUAAGGAUGAGUCUGCAAUUGAUGGUUAGAAAAUGAGCUCUACCGAGAAGAGGACUUGGGAGACAUCUCCAAAGAAGGGUUGAAACGCCAGUAUUGAAGGACAAGAGAGACCGCUUCGGCUUAGGAUUUAAGCUGGAUGCGAGGCAAAGGAAAAAUGAGCUGGAAAAGAAACAAGAAAGAAUGAGAGCACAGUUGAAGGGGGAGGAAAUCAAAUGGGAGCCAAUGAUACUCCCCCAUAUAUCAAAAACUUUUGUUUUUGGAGGAAUCAUUCAUCCCGAACGCCAAGAAAGGAAGCCAUAGAAGAAAAGUUGGAAAGCUUAGAUAUCAACGCCACAUACGAAGAAGGGGUUGGAGGAGAAAGUUUGUCGAGCAUUUGCCCCUACAUACCUAGAAGUGUUCUGGAUAACUAGACUGCAGAAGAGAUUCCUAUAGUUUUUAGAGCUGACUCAGAGUAAUUUCCAAAGCACACUUAUUGCUCUAGGCCUAGGAGUAAUAAGAAUCUUUUGUGAAAUAGGCUUAUGUUCAAAAACGUUAUUUCAAUAAAAUGCACAGUUAUUAUCAUUUUGAGUAGAUAUUCUUUCAUUCUUUCUAUUUCAUUCAUAAUUAUAUUAUACAAACGAUUACUUUCGGAUUCUUUUGUCCUUCGGAUAUUCUUUUAAAUAUUCUUUCGUUCUUCAUUCAUAAUCAUACCAUACAGAUAAGUAUCCUUAAAUUCUUUUGGUUCUUUGUAUCUUCCUUCAUCCUCAUAACAGGUCCACAGAUAUUAAUGAUAUGAGUGACACUGCUAGUGGCUCAGAGUCUCCUUUUGAGCGAGAUAUGUGUAUGGAGGAUUCUCAGGAUUUUGAAGAUGACCAAGGCUGUAACCUAUCUCCUGAUCUAUUGAGGAUGGUAGAACAAGACGAGAAAUAAAUCCUACCUCACAAAAAAUCAGUAGAAAUUGUAAGCUUAAGAGAAAGACAAUAGGUGAAGAUCGGAACUUGUAUCACCAUAGAGAUGAAGUGAGACAUUAUCGAAUUACUUCAAAAAUUUAAAGAUGUCUUUGCAUGGUCAUACCAAGAUAUGCCCGGGUUGAACACCGAUAUUGUGGUGCAUCGACUCGCCAUAAAAGAAGAAUGUAAGCCAGUUCAGCAAAAACUCCGAAGAAUGAGGCCCGACGUCUUGUUAAAAAUAAAAGAAGAGGUUAGAAAGCAGUUUGACGCUAGAUUUUUAAAGGUGGUAAAAUACUCAGAGUGAGUAGCCAACAUCGUCCUCAUCCCUAAGAAGGAUGGAAAAGUACGAAUGUGUGUAGACCACAGAUAUUUGAAUAAAGUCAGCCCAAAAGAUAAUUUCCCACUACCUCAUAUUGACACAUUGGUGGACAACACGGCAAGACACUCACUGUUUUCCUUCAUGGACUGUUUCUCUGGAUAUAACCAGAUCAAGAUGCAUUCUGAAGACAUGGAGAAGACUACAUUUGUAACCAUGUGGGGGCCGUUCUGCUACAAGGUGAUGCCGUUUGGAUUGAAAAAUGCAGGGGCAACAUAUCAAAGGGCCAUGGUAACCCUAUUUCACGACAUGAUGUACAAAGAAAUCGAAGUUUAUGUCGAUGAUAUGAUCGCAAAGUCCCAAAUAGAGAAGGAGCACAUAAAAGUCCUGAGAAAGUUGUUCUUAAGGUUGAGGAAGUUUCAGCUAAAACUCAAUCCAGCCAAAUGUACCUUCGGAGCCAAGUCUGGAACGCUACUCAGAUUCGUGGUUAAUGAGAAAGGGAUUGAGAUUGAUCCAGACAAAGUCAAAGCCAUACAAGAGUUAUCUCCGCCGCAUGCCCAGAAAGAGGUUCGAGGCUUUCUAGGAAGAUUAAAUUACAUCGCUCAGUUCAUCUCACAACUAAUCGAGGAAUGUGACCCUGUUUUCUGCCUCCUCAAGAAACACAACCCAGGUGUAUGGGAUGAAAAAUGCCAAAGGGCUUUCGACAAGGUCAAACAAUACUUAUCCAACGCUCCAGUACUGAUGUCACCUAACCCCGAUAAGCCAUUGAUACUGUAUUUGAUAGUAUUUGAGAAUUCCAUGGGAUGCGUGCUUGGUCAGCAUGAUGAGUUAGGAAGGAAAGAAAAAGUUAUUUACUAUCUUAGUAAAAAGUUCACUGAAUGUAAGACAAGAUAUCCGCCGAUAGAAAAGUUGUGUUGUGUCCUAGUUUGGACAACCCAAAGGUUGAGGCAGUAUAUGUUGUAUCACACUACUUGGCUCAUCUCAAAACUGGACCAUUUAAAGUACAUGAUAGAGUCAACAGCUUUGAAUAAAAGGAUGGCCCGAUGGCAAAUUCUGCGCUCUGAAUUCGACAUAGUUUAUGUGAAUCAAAAAGCAGUAAAAGAUAGUGCAAUAGCAGAUUUUCUGGCCAGUACAGCUUUAGAAGAUUACGAGCCCUUGAACUGCGAUUUCCCGAAUAAAGACCUGAUGUGUGUUGUUACCGCUGAAGAAGGUACUCUGGAAGAACCUCUCUGGAAACUAAACUUCGAUAGGGCAUCAAAUGUUGUGGAUAAUGGAAUCGGGGUAGUCUUGGUAUCUCCGAACGGAGAUCAUUAUCCAUUUACUACUAAAUUAGAUUUUGAUUGUAUGAAUAACAUGGUAGAAUACGAGGCGUGUAUCAUAGGUAUUCGUGCAGCCAUAGAACACAGGAUUUAAGUGCUAGAGGUGUAUGAAGAUUCUGCGUUAGUGAUUUAUUAACUCAAAGGAGAAUGGGAGACCAGAGAUCCUAAGUUGAUCGAUUAUAGAAAACUGGUCCUUGAAUUGGUUAAAGAGUUCGAUGACAUUACUUUCUGCUACCUUCCUCGAGACGAAAAUCAGAUGGCCAAUGUUUUGGCUACCUUAGCUUCCAUGAUCAAGGUGAACAAACAAGAAGAUGUCAAACCCAUCCGAAUGAGCAUUUAUGAAACUCCGGCUCACUGUUACAAUAUUGAAGAAGAUAAAAAAAAAGAUGAUCACCCUUGGUAUCACGAUAUAUUGCAAUACGUGAGGAAUCGUGAGUACCCGGACCAGGCAAGCGAGAAUGAUAAAAGAACACUGAGAAGAGUGGCCAUUGACUAUGUCUUAAAUGUGGAUAUCCUAUACAAAAGAAGAAAGGAUCAAGUGCUAUUAAGAUGCGUAGACACUGUAGAGGCUAAGAAAAUAUUGGAAGAAGUCCAUGAAGGCGUCUGCGGGACACACGCUAAUGGCUUUACAAUGGCCAGGCAAAUUAUGAGAUUCGGGUAUUAUUGGUCCACUAUGGAAGGAAACUGUGUCAAUUACGCUAAGAGAUGUCAUAAAUGUCAAAUCUAUUGAGACAAAAUUCAUGUGCCUCAUUCACCGCUGCAUGUCAUGACUUCUCCAUGGCCUUUCUCUAUGUAGAGUAUAGAUGUAAUUGGACCAAUAUCGCCGAAAGCUUCCAAUGGAUAUCGAUCUAUCUUUGUGGUUAUCGACUACUUCACCAAAUGGGUAGAAGUCGCUUCAUAUGCCAAUGUUACAAAGUCGGAAGUGAGUAAAUUCCUGAAAAAAGAGAUCAUAUGUCGAUAUGGAAUGCUGGAGAGGAUCAUAUCUGACAAUGCAUUAAACUUGAACAAUAGUACGAUAGCAGAAGUCUGCAGUUAAUUCAAGAUCAGACACCACAACUCAUCAUCAUAUCAGCCGAAAAUGAAUUGGGUAGUGGAAGCGGCCAACAAAAAUAUUAAGAGGAUUGUGGGGAAGAUGACUGUGACCUACAAAGAUUGGCAUGAAAAGUUACCAUUUGCCCUCUUUGCUUAGCGAACAUCAGUUAGAACCUGUACUGGGGCAACGCCUUUCUCUUUGGUCUACAGAAUGGAAGCGAUUUUGCCAAUCGAAGUUGAGAUCUUGUCCCUUCGAGUAUUUUCGGAGCUAAAGUUAGAUGAAGUAGAGUGGAUCCAGUCUCGAUACGAUCAAUUGAACUUGAUUGAAGAAAAGAGGCUAAGAGCUAUCCGUUAUGGUCAGAUGUACCAAAAACGAAUGAUGCAAGCCUAUGAUAAAAAGGUUCGCCCGAGGGAAUUCCAUGAGAGGGACCUGGUCUUGAAAAAGAUCCUUCCCAUACAAAAAAAAUUCAGAGGGAAAUGGAUGUCAAACUGGGAAGGAUCUUAUGUAGUAAAGAAAGCUUUUCCUAGAGGAGCAUUGAUUCUAGCCGAGAUGGAUGGUAAAAACUUGCCCAAUCCUGUGAAUUCGGAUUCAAUCAAGAAGUAUUUUACCUAAAAAGUGAGAGGCCAAGGCGAAAACCCGCAAAGGGCGCUUUGAGACCAAAUGGGUUUUUGAGUUGAAAACCCGAAAACGGGCAGCUCAAAUUUUGAACAUGGGGCAUGUGGUAGUCUUGUCCUCCCAAAUUAUCAAGAGGAAAGAACAGUACAUCUUGGAGCAGCAACGAAAUACACGAGACUCCUAAACACAUAUUUAACUCGAAGUAGCCUUUGAGAAGUUAGAAUAGAGAAGCUCGUGCUGCGAUAUCUGGGGCACCCUUUUCUCAUCUUAUUUUGUACCUUAGCAGAUUUGCUAUCUUGUUUAAUUUAUUCACUUUGAGUUUUGCUCAAUAAAAUUCCAUCUUGUCCAUUAUGAUAAUCUCUUUCGAGCAUUUUUCGUUGAAAUCACGAUUUUGGACUUAUAACAUUCACACAAAAGAAGUUAUGCAUAUUACUCUGGAAGGUCUCUAAAUAGUACAAGGACCUGAAACAGGGCCACUAGUCAGGACUAACCAGAUUCAAAAGUUAGAAACAUUGGAAAAAGUAGUCCAAAUUGUGACUAUUUAUUCAGAUUUUCUGUUAAAGAUACCGGCUAAACAAAAAGACACAAUAGCACAUCAAUGAUAGAAUCCUGAUGAACUAUGAGCAAUGAUACCUUAAGCAUUUAAAAAGGAAUCACUCUCAUGAAAUUUCUACAUUCAUAAUCAUUCAUCUAGUUAGAAGCAUUUGACUCAUUUUGAUCAUGGCAUCCUAAUUAUUUGGCAUAAGCAUAGGUACAGGAAACCGAUUCUACAAAUCAUGCCCUUAGAGGACGGUAUAGCAACAUCGGUGAAUUCACAGAUCUUGUCUUCCUGAAGUUGCAGUGGAACUGAUCAAAGACGAAAAGCCUUAACCCCCUAAGUAGUAGGGUAAUAGGUUAAAGAUUGUAGAUCUUGUCUCCCUAAACAGUAGUGGAGCAAAUCGAAGAAACAAGCCUUAACCCCCUAAGUAGCAGGGUAACAGGUUGAAUAUUACAGGUCUUGUCUCUUCGAAGUUGCAGUGGAACAGAUCAAAGACGGUGAGCCUUGACCCUCUAAGCAGUAGGUAACAGGUUGAAGAUUAUAGAUCUUGUCUCCCUAAACAGUAGUGGAUCAAAUCGAAGAAGCAAGCCUUAACCCCCUAAGUAGUAAAGUAACAGGCUGAAGAUUGCAGACUUGUCUCCUCGAAGUUGCAGUGGAACAGAUCAAAGACGGUGAGCCUUGACCCUCUAAGUAGUAGGGUAACAGGCUGAAGAUUGUAGAUCUUGUCGCCCUGAAGUUGCAGUGGAACAGAUCAAAAAUGGUAAGCCUUAACCCCCUAAGUAGCAGGGUAACAGGCUGAAUAUUGUAGAUCUUGUCUCCCUAAACAGUAGUGGAGCAAAUCGAAGAAGCAAGCCUUAACCCCCUAAGUAGUAGAGUAACAAGCUGAAGAUUGCAGAUCUUGUUUCCUCAAAGUUGCAGUGGAACAGAUCAAAGACGGUGAGCCUUGACCCCUUAAGUAGUAGGGUAACAGGCUGAAGAUUGUAGAUCUUGUCGCCCUAAGCAGUAGCGGAGCAGAUCGAAGACAGUGAACCUUAACCCCCUAAGUAGUAGGGUAACGGCCUGAAAAUUACAGAUCCUAUCUCCCUAAGCAGUAGUGGAGCAGACUGAAGAUUACCAGAUUUUAUCCCCUUUAAGUUUCAGUGAAGUAACUCGAAGCCACCAUUCGUAUCUUCUUGAAGUUUCAGCAGAUUAGAUCGAAGCUACAAACCUCUUCUCCCUGAAAUGGCAUUGAAGCGGCUCGAAGCCACAGCAAAUCUCCUUGAAAUUUCAGCGGAGUAUACCGAGGCUACAAAUCUUUUCUCCCUGAAAUGGCAUUGGAGCGAUCAAAAAUUACAAGUCUUAUCUCCCUAAAGUUGCAGUGGAGCAGUUGCAAUGGAGUAGACUAAAGUUAGCAGAUCUUAUCUCCCUGAAGUUGCAGUGGAGCAAAUCGAAGUCACAAUCCUUAUCUCUCUAAAGUUGCAGUAGAGUAGGAUAAAAAUACACGAACCAUAUCUCUCUGAGGUUGCAGUGGAGCAGUUGCGGUAGAGCAAAUUAAAAGCUACAAGGCUAGUCUCCCUAGAGUUACAACGGAGCAGAUUGAAGCAACAAUUCCUAUAUCCCUAAAGUUGCAUAGGAUUGGAACAAAGCUACCUCGAAGAAGAAGAGCUUCAAAGAAGUCAUGAUUUGACGAGACCGGGCAAAAAUGGUCCUCUUUGAAGUAUUUGCUCUAUUCUCGUUACACGACAAUGAGCAAAGAGGGGCAGCUGUAAACGGGCCAAUUUGCCCGGGUCCACCAAAAUACAAAAUAAAUAUAAAAUCUAAAAAAAAUAUAAAACAAAAUAAAUACUGUCCAAAUUACAGCCCAGAUCACUUGGCCCAAUUUCACAAAUGAUCCAACAAUAGAAAUAGGCCCAGAUGGCCCAAAAGUUAAAACACUAACAGAAACCCUAGGGCUUGUCCCACCUUGCGCCGCAGCCGAGCCCCAGCCUCCAUGUGCCUUCAACAUCGUACGACCGCCACGCGCGCUUCCGUACGCCUCACGCCAAGUCCCAACACACGCCUCGUACCCCGUACCUUUAAACGAACAAAAGAACGACAGCAAAAAGUAAGAAAAAUAUUGUAUUUUUAUAUUUAUUUUUCUUUUAGAUUUCGGCUAUAAAGCAAGACAAACAAUGUAUUGAUUUUUUUUACGCAUAAAAAACACGUAAUAUAAGGCAAUCAAAUAUAUAAAAAAACAGAGAAAGGUGAUUUUUUGCUUUCGAUUUCUAUACUCUUUUUCUUUUUCUUCUUUCUUUUUACUGGCAUUUACUCAAAUCCUUCAUCAUUGCAUUUAGAAAAAUAAAAGAAAAGGGAUAAGAUAAACUUUACCUUGCAA
rnacentral:lncRNA from 1 species